AGGCAAGCCAAAGAGCCGAGUCUCUUUCAGUACAGAUUCAACAUAUGCAGGGCCAGAUUGAUAAUCUGCAGGGACAACUUACAGCAGUGCGCAACCACGAAACAGCUUUGGAAACCAGAGUCCGGGGUUUUACGGACACACCUCCUGGCAAGUCCCCAAUGGGCCCCUCUCGUAGCAAAAGACCCUUCCAAGAUGAAGGUGUGUUUUUGCUAUCUCGCAACGUUUCUCUUAGUAUCGUAUGUUUGGUUUCAUUUUGAUUGGAGCUGAUAUGAGGUUUUAUGUUUGUUUUCGGUCUGCAUGCUAUUUUCAUUUACUAAUGAUGUAUAUGAACCAGGAUUCGAGACUUCCGCACCGGAUUUUGACAAUGACAGCAGUGCCUUCAAGAGGAACAAGAUGGAUCAUCAUUUCGACAACGGUAGUAACUUGCAUGAGGGUGAUGAAGGUGGCAGUGCAGCGACCUCUAGCGAGAUAGUUGAAAC
rnacentral:lncRNA from 1 species